rnacentral:rRNA from 1 species
UACGUAGGGGGCUAGCGUUGUCCGGAAUCAUUGGGCGUAAAGAGCGUGUAGGCGGCUCGAUAAGUCCGCUGUGAAAGUCCAGGCUCAACCCUGGGAUGCCGGUGGAUACUGUCGGGCUCGAGUCCGGAAGAGGCGAGUGGAAUUCCUGGUGUAGCGGUGAAAUGCGCAGAUAUCAGGAGGAACACCAAUGGCGAAGGCAGCUCGCUGGGACGUGACUGACGCUGAGACGCGAAAGCGUGGGGAGCAAACAGG